AUUGAACGCUGGCGGCAUGCCUUACACAUGCAAGUCGAACGGCAGCACGGACUUCGGUCUGGUGGCGAGUGGCGAACGGGUGAGUAAUGUAUCGGAACGUACCCUUCAGUGGGGGAUAACUAUCCGAAAGGAUAGCUAAUACCGCAUAUUCUCUGAGGAGGAAAGCGGGGGAUCGCAAGACCUCGCGCUGAUGGAGCGGCCGAUAUCAGAUUAGCUAGUUGGUGGGGUAAAGGCCUACCAAGGCGACGAUCUGUAGCGGGUCUGAGAGGAUGAUCCGCCACACUGGGACUGGGACACGGACCAGACUCCUACGGGAGGCAGCAGUGGGGAAUUUUGGACAAUGGGGGCAACCCUGAUCCAGCCAUGCCGCGUGAGUGAAGAAGGCCUUCGGGUUGUAAAGCUCUUUCGGCCGUGAAGAAAUCGCGUGAGUUAAUACCUUGCGUGGAUGACGGUACCGGAAUAAGAAGCACCGGCUAACUACGUGCCAGCCGCCGCAGUAAAAC
rnacentral:rRNA from 1 species